rnacentral:rRNA from 1 species
AUUGAACGCUGGCGGAAUGCUUUACACAUGCAAGUCGAACGGCAGCACGGACUUCGGUCUGGUGGCGAGUGGCGAACGGGUGAGUAAUGUAUCGGAACGUGCCCAGUCGUGGGGGAUAACGUAGUGAAAAUUACGCUAAUACCGCAUACGAUCUAUGGAUGAAAGCGGGGGAUCGCAAGACCUCGCGCGAUUGGAGCGGCCGAUAUCAGAUUAGGUAGUUGGUGGGGUAAAGGCCCACCAAGCCAACGAUCUGUAGCUGGUCUGGGAGGACGACCAGCCACACGGGAACUGAGACACGGUCCAGACUCCAACGGGAGGCAGCAGUGGGGAAUUUUGGACAAUGGGCGAAAGCCUGAUCCAGCCAUUCCGCGUGCAGGAUGAAGGCCCUCGGGUUGUAAACUGCUUUUGUACAGAACGAAAAGGUUUCUACUAAUACUAGGAGCUCAUGACGGUACUGUAAGAAUAAGCACCGGCUAACUACGUGCCAGCAGCCGCGGUAA